rnacentral:rRNA from 1 species
CAGCAGCCGCGGGAAUACGAAGGGUGCAAGCGUUACUCGGAAUUACUGGGCGUAAAGCGUGCGUAGGUGGUGGUUUAAGUCCGUUGUGAAAGCCCUGGGCUCAACCUGGGAAUUGCAGUGAAUACUGGGUCACUAGAGUGUGGUAGAGGAUAGUGGAAUUUCCGGUGUAGCAGUGAAAUGCGUAGAGAUCGGAAGGAACAUCUGUGGCGAAGGCGACUAUCUGGGCCAACACUGACACUGAGGCACGAAAGCGUGGGGAGCAAACAGGAUUAGAUACCCCAGUAGUCCCUGUCUCUUAUAA